UGGGGGAUAUUGCACAAUGGGCGAAAGCCUGAUGCAGCGACGCCGCGUGGGGGAUGAAGGCCUUCGGGUUGUAAACUUCUUUUGCUCUGAACAAGGCAUGCUAAUGGGUGUGUUGAGUGUAGGGGUUGAUUAGCGCCGGCUAACUACGUGCCAGCAGCCGCGGUAAUACGUAGGGCGCGAGCGUUGUCCGGAAUUAUUGGGCGUAUAGGGCUUGUAGGUGGCUGGUUGCGUCUGUCGUGAAAGCUCAUGGCUUUAUUGUGGGUUUGCGGUGGGUACGGGCUGGCUUGGGUGCAGUAGGGGAGGCUGGAAUUCCUGGUGUAGCGGUGGAAUGCGCAGAUAUCAGGAGGAAUACCGGUGGCGAAGGCGGGUCUCUGGGCUGUUACUGACACUGAGGAGCGAAAGCAUGGGGAGCGAACAGG
rnacentral:rRNA from 1 species